rnacentral:rRNA from 1 species
CCCCAGACUCCUACGGGAGGCAGCAGUGGGGAAUAUUGCACAAUGGGCGAAAGCCUGAUGCAGCAACGCCGCGUGAAGGAAGAAGGGUUUCGGCUCGUAAACUUCUAUCAACAGGGACGAAAGAAAUGACGGUACCUGAAUAAGAAGCCCCGGCUAACUACGUGCCAGCAGCCGCGGUAAUACGUAGGGGGCAAGCGUUAUCCGGAUUUACUGGGUGUAAAGGGAGCGUAGACGGCUGUACAAGUCUGAAGUGAAAGCCCGUGGCUCAACCGCGGAACUGCUUUGGAAACUGUAAAGCUGGAGCACUGGAGAGGCAGGCGGAAUUCCUAGUGUAGCGGUGAAAUGCGUAGAUAUUAGGAGGAACACCAGUGGCGAAGGCGGCCUGCUGGACAGAAACUGACGUUGAGGCUCGAAAGCGUGGGGAGCAAACAGGAUUAGAUACCCCCGUA